GAAUGCUUUAUGAGAAUGUCUGCAAAUCUGGCACAAACGUCCGCUUGGACUGAUCAGAUUUUAGUUGUCAAAGGUCACUGUGACCUCACAGAACACGUUUUUGGCCGUUUCUCAACAAUGAGAAUGAGUAUCUUGACUGGUGCAGGGAGGAAAUGAAACCACAAGGCGCCUCCUCUUGUCCUCCAGCAGGAGCUCAAAGCCGACCACGUCAUCGCUCACGUGCCGUCUGUGAAUAAGAUGUUGAAUCAUGAGCGGCAUCCUGUGAGCGGCUCGGGGACAAUAAAGAAAGUCACACGAAGAAGGAAUAUAAGAAAACGCACACUAUGAGAAGGAGAUUACUGUAGUGCAAUGAAAGAACACAGGACAGGAAAUGACUGUACAACUUAAUAAACCAAUUAAUAGGUCAAU